AUCCAGCUAACGAGUCCCAAAUAGGACGAAAUGCGCAUCCUGGAA
rnacentral:hammerhead_ribozyme from 1 species